AUUAUGGGAAAAUCUCCGUGAAGUCUCUUGUCUUUUUACUUUACUGAUGGAGUGAGUGAGUUUUUGUGAAGCACAAGAAGAAAAAUCUAUCCCGCAGCCGAUUUGGCAGAAAAUCGAAACAGAGAAGGGUGGAAAGUUUCGGCAAAAUAUUUACCUACAGAAAUUGGUGUCGUUCAAUGUGAGGUGCGAUACAAUUGUGAAAUCCCUUGGGAUUUACUGUGAGAGCUGCUGCUACACAGCAGUAAAGGAAAAUCGAUCCACUCUGUGUGUGUUCGAGGGAAGAAAAGUUGGGUUUUCCAACGAAUGCUGCUCGCGUAGCAGGUGCUAGCGAAAUUGGGUUAACGUGAAAAAGUCUUCUUUUUGCUCCCUGUGGCAAAAUAUCAGUAUUUGUGGAAUUGAUCUAAGAAAAGAAGCAUCAGACAGAUGACUUGAAGAUGAAAUAAACGCUCAGGAUAAUUGUCCGUAGGCAAUAUAUUGAUGGAUGAAACUUCACGUCGGAGUUGUGAAAUUCAAUUGGGUAAAACUUCGAAGUAAAGAAAUGUGUAUUUCUCGAUAUGCUUGCACGUGCCAGUUGCUCUCGGUGUCGUCGUAAAAUGUGAUCAAAACUCGUUUCUUGCUUGAGAAAGGAUAAGUCAGUCGCUUUAGCAGUAGAGUGAGAAAGUAGAAUUUCUCAUAAAUAUCUGAGCAAAAAAAAGUGCGAACCCAGAAUUCCGAAGGAAUCUCAUUCGGGCUUUUGACUGCCAACGACAACAACGAAUCGAAAAAGAACAACCAAGGUGAAGCUAUUGUCGUUUGUUGCUGAUUCAUUCUUUGUCAAAGGUGAUUCGUCGAAUUAGGUUUUUGAGACGGAAUACGGAACAGAAAACUGUUGAUUUGGAUUAUACCAAGUACAAGGACGCAAAGCAGCAGCAUACUAGCCAUAGCCGAAUCGUAAUUCCCGGCACAACACAGCACAACACACUCCGCAAAAAUGCACUCAGUUGGCAUACAUUCGGCGCUGGCCAUCAAACGGCAGCGGAAGCGGCGGGACAAUCAGCGCAAAGCCCGCGAACGGCGCUACAGUGUGCAGAGCUCCGAGAGUGGCGAUACGCACUCGCCCCAUGGCUCGACACGCCGGAAGUUCCACCCGCAUAAGGUGCACACCGCCGACAACAAUAAUCUGUUAGAUACGAAAGUAGUCACAAGCAUUGGUAUGCUACACAUAGGCGUGGUAUUCCUAGUGUUCGGAAUCUUUUUACUAGGAGCUGGAUUUUUUCCAGAUAAUCUAUCAAAUCAACCGUCACAAUCGUGGCACCUACUGGGAAAAGGUUCCUGGUGGAACGAACUGAUAUGCACGGGAUUGUUCGCCGUCGGUCUUGGCAUCUUUCUAAUCAUAUUAAACUGUGUGAUAAGCAAUCGGGAGGAACAGGACCUCGAGAGCUACGUCCAACGGCAGCUGACCCGAUCGAGAUCCGGCCAUCGAUUAGAGCGUGACGUUGAGACAGGUGGUCUGACGACACGCCACCACCGCAAAGCCAUGCAGAUACAGAAGGGCGCCGCCGAGAGGGGUCUCGACGAUCUCUCCAACUCGAACAUCCUGCUGACGCCAACCAGCAGCGAAGUGGUGACUCCGACGACUCCGUCCGGAGUCCUCGGAGCAUCCGGAGAAAUUUUAUUGGAGAAAAUCCUGGAAGAGGAUAGCAGCUACGGUGAUCCGGAUUAUUACACAAGAAAUAUAGGCCAAUCGCCGCCCGGCGUAGACAACGACAAGAAGUUGCUGCUCGGUAACGGUCACACCGGCGCCAUACAUAUGACCGAUAUUUAACUCCUCGGUGUUCCACCCAUUAAUAAUCAUCGCCGUCAUCGUCAUCGUCACCAAUAGCAGCAGCAGAAGCAGUAGCAACUUCAAAUGAUGUCAUCAUUGAACCGGUCAUCAACAUAAAGAUCAAAUUCUACAAGGAGUUGUUAAAUGGUCACCACCGUCAAGUCCAAUAUAUCCCAACAAUGCAACAAUAUUACGGUGCUCUCGCUACUUCCGAAAACCAUCAGCAGAAACAACUGAAGUAAAUCGCAACUGGUAACAACAACACACUAAUCUAAACUGUGGAUAAUUGAAUUCCGUUUUGAUACUCAUUUUCGUCGAAACUUUUGUUACUGUGUAAUAAAACAUUCGCUAGACAACUCGUCGAAUAUUUCUAACAUUAUACAUAUAAAUAGCUGUGUAUAGUACUAAAAGAAGUCACAAAAAUUUAGCCAUUUUUAUAAAAACUGUUUGAACAAAAGAAAAUUCAACACAAAAACAGAUGCUGUACAAGAAACCAAAUCCGUAGGUACAUGUAUUUAAUUUCAAAUUUUUGAUGUUCGUGACUAGAUGUCGUAUAUAUAUUAUUAUAACAAGCAUUGAAGACAAAUUUGAUCACAUGUUGAAAAGUACUUACAUUUCAGAGCUAUUUAACAAAGAAAAGAAGAAAAAACAAAAGUAAAAGAACGAACAACACAAAGAUGAUUAUGAAUACAACUAGAUAAAACUUUUAUUAAACAAUUUAAAAUUUAAUAGCGCAAAGUGUAACCGUUCGAAGCUAAGGAUCAGCUAAGCAAAUUUUUUAAAUGUGACAAAAGUAAGUGAAAAUCAAGGUAAUCUCUUCGCCACAUGCCAGUAAAUCGCCACGUACGCACGUCAGUUUAAAUAGGUACUCAUCGCACAUCAUAAUCAAACAGCAGAUAUGCCACGGAUCGUAAAUUGCUUGCAGUAUUUUUCAUAGGUUAUAUAAAGGUACACUCAAACGCACUUCGCAUUCAGACACAAACACAAGCACCCGUGACUCGAUUCACGAAUAUUCAUUAGUGGAAGUACUGUGUGAACAAUUUGUUUAGGAUCAAGCAAGGGGAAGAAAGGGCCGCCAGCUCUAUCCAACAGGUGUAGGCAUACCAUUUUGGAGCAUUAGUGCUGUAACAACAUUGUGAGCCGAAUUUGAAAUUAAUUAUCCUUUUGGUGGAAUUUAUCGCAGCUGCCGCUACUGCUGCGUUCCAUUGUUGGUUGAAGAACAGUUUUCCAAAGAAAAGCAAAGCUCCAUUUGCUUGUAGGUUGCAAACUUUGGGGAAAUAUUAAAUCUUAGGAAAUGCGAGAAAAUUGGAUUCGAAAUAAUACUGUAAUUUACCGCGGAAGAUUUCGAAACAGAACUUUUAGUUAUUUUUAAGAUACCAUCAAUAAUUAUUGACAAACUCAGCCAACAGAACUGGAAAAGUGUUAUAAAACGCUGAUUGCAAUUUAAAAAACUAGCCAACAAAUGUUUCCAAUCUUAAAUCUAGAUCAACAUUUGAAAUAGGCGGAACAACCAAACGUAAACAAUGGCUUUAAACGUCAAUUUCUCAAGAAUAAAAACACAGCUAAGCAAUCUAACAUUAGCAUCGACCCUUUAUCGAAUAGCAUUGUUAGAUUCUCGAGAAAUAUGUGUUUAAAGCCAUAGUUUACGUUUAGUUUUCCGCCUAUUUUGAUUAUUGCUCUAGAAAUACAGAAAAACUACUCCCAUAAGUGCUAAAUUUCCCAUCCCAGCUUUAUCAACACCCACAACAUAACUAGGCACAAAAAUUCUCACUAUUCCGUUUUCCUGCGCGUGACCUCGCAACGGGUGUGA